GGGCCCUGGGCAAGUUGCUUUUCUUUUUAAAUUACAGGAAAAUGGGAAGGGCUGUUGUUGAAACUACAAUCAGUUGAGAGGUUGGAAGAGCCUAGUGAUUCCAAAUGCAGAAUCAAAAGGAGGCUCUGCUCUGCUAUUUAGAAGUGUGUUUCAAUCUGCUAGCCCAUCUAGCACACUUUCCCAUCUACAGUCUGCAAAUGGUCAAGUCCUUCCAUGCUCCAAGAAGACCAACUUGGAGGAAGCAGGAGUUGUACAGUGGAAGAAAAAUUAGUAGCACAUCAAACCCAGGAUUUCAUUGAUAUCAUCCCUGUGACAAGGCAAAAGUUUUUAAAAAGUGAGUCAACUUGAGGAUAAGAUACAAAAUCAUAAUAAGGUGACAGAAAUCAGGUUGGUAUCAUAUUAAUGUUGAUAAGGCAUGUGAUUUUUUUUAAAAAGGCAUGGGUAGCUGGGUGUGGCGGUGCACACUUGUGGUCCUAGCACUUGGAGGCUGAGGCAGGAGGAUUGGAAGUUUAUGUCUUGCCUGAGCAACUUUGGGAGUCUCUGUCUCAAAAUAAAAAGGGCUGGGGAAGUAGCUCAGUGGUAGAAAAUCCCUGGGGUCAAUCCCCAGCAUGGAGGGAAAAAAGCACAGCCAUUGUGAUCACACAGAUCUGGCUUCCAGAACCAGGUCUGACUUCACACCUUUAUUUCUCUGUCUGUUAAGUGGGGGCCAUAGCACCCACUUGCGUGCUGUGGAAGUGGAGAUUACAGGUGAUAACGGGCUGCUUGCACACACGUCACAGGCCAAAGCAAGCGCUGGCCCACCCAGCCCAUCCCACUGCCUCACUCACAGAUUCCUGGGGUCUCCACCCUCUGCCCUAUCCUACCAACCUAGCCAGAAACUGUGGCCUUUGCGCCCCAUUCCUGGGCCCCCAGACUCCUCACCACUCAACUCUGGAAAGCAAAUCCCUUCAGCCUCCUCAGCUGUAAUGAUAAGAUUUGGAGACUCCAUAGGAAUCCGAAUGUGAAGAUACUCCAGGGACAUAGUAGAAAUUAGAUGUUUUUCAAUUACCACAGGCAAAGGGCUGCAUGUGGUUCUACUAAUGCAAACUGCUUAUUUGCCGGUUCCCCCUCCGCCGCCCCAUCCGGGCCCUGCCAGUGAUUGAUGGCCACAGAAGGACACGUUGUCAAGCCCCCUUGAUUUCUAUCUGAAGAGAGUUGACUCCCUGGGCUUGGAAUGAUGGCUUCGGCAGCAUGGUCGGCACCAGAAAGAAGCCGCUUUGCAGCUGGGAACUUGCCCUGCCUUCCAAGAAGUUUCUCCCUAAAAGCUUCUCCCUAAAAGCAACACACAUCGAAAGUCCCAGACACAUGCUAGAGCAAGAAUUCAAAGAACUUCAGACCAGUGGCCCGCCUAGUCAUGGUUGUUACCCUGGGAGGAGGAAACCAAGUCCACUGUAAAGUGAGAAUUUUUUAAAUUUCUAAAGACAAAAGAUGGUGGUUCCAAAGUAGAUCCACUAAGACCUCAAUAACAAAAUACAAUUCGUUGGGACUCUGCAUGAGCUCAAAGACAGACAAAGGAGGACUCACUUUUGGUCAGCACCAACGCAAUGCAUCAGGUGCUGUGUUAAGUAUCAUACAUACAUCAUCUCAUUUAAAAUAACUCAACAAAGUAGAAACCAAUAAUAGCACCAUUUGAUAAGUGAAGCAAUGAGUUUCAGAGCUGUUAAGAGACUUUCCCAAGAUCAAAAAGCCAGAACAUGCUAAGGCGGGGUUAGAAACCCAGACUCUUCUCUUUGCCAGAUAUUUGUGUAAUUAUUCCUGGGAUGCCUGGUUGCCCCAUGCAACUGUGACCUCUAGGAGGCCAGCAUGGAAAACACACAUGCACUGGAUGGUUCCAGUGCUCCCUGGACCACCCAUCCCAGAAAGCAGUCAGCCUCCUGCUUCCCAGGCUUUUCUCCCCCUCUUUCUAUCAACUUGUUCCCAAUUUAAUUGAGAAGCCAAUAGCUGCUACCCUCUCCUGGCUCCAUUAGGAGCAAUCUACCCUCAAAGGCCAGGAUCUAUACCACACGAUCCAGUCUCACACUAAUCAAGAUCACUGAGCCAGGGACAGACCCGGAACUCAAGACCAGCCUAUCCAAAGGCUGACAUAUCACUCUGAUGUGCUUUGUUUAAAAAAUGUAAAUAUUCUGAUACUUGUUAAAACAGGAAGACUUUAUUCUAGACUAUUGUAGUAGGGAAGAGAGAUCCGGAUCAACCUUGAAAACAGCAAAAACAGGGAUUCUCCACAAAGCAGAACAAUGAGGGGCCCUGGAAGGAAAAUAACUAAAAGGAGACACCGAGGAUAGGAUUGAUUUUCCUAGAGAAGCAUACACGGCUGGUUUUCCUGAUACAAACUCAGCUGUUCUCAUUGUCAGGGGAGAGCAGGUCCUCACUGUCACCAAGGACGGCUGCUGCUCUCUUUGGGGGAGCUCUGGUCUUCCCUUUGAGUGUUGUUUCCUGGCUCCAGUGCAGAUCCCUGAGCCUGAUGGCAUAGCCCCUUCACCCCACAGGCUCAGACUUUCUAGCUUCCAUCACUGGCCUUUGAGCCUUCCUGGAGCCGAUCCUUGAAAGGGACUUGCAUGAGACAUCGCCGUGGGAUCCAGGCCCUCAGCUGGAUUCUUUGGGUCUCUAACAUGUGGACAGAUCUCUUGCACUCUUUUGCAUUUGACUUUCUGGGUGAAUAUUAUAAAAUGAUCAUGUAUUAAUAAUCCUGUGUCCUGUAUUAAAUCUAUUCCCUUGCAAAACCUGACUACAACACACAGAAACUCAAAGAAGAAAGGCACAUCUCGCUGGAGGUGGAGGAAGAAUAGAUUCACAAGAGUAACACUGAGUUCUCAGAAUUCCCAAUCCCCACAUACCUAAAGACUCACAUUCCCUGCUAUGCAGUGCUCCCAGGCUCACUUUCUCCCAGCACAAAGUCAAAGACAAUUAAAAUCUUUUCCUUUCUAAGAUGCUGCUGUUCUGUGUCACCAAGAGUAUAGCUCAGAGAUCAAAGGAGAGUUCUAACUUCCCUUUUUACUUGCCCCCAAUCAGAAUGUUGGCCCUCAUUCAUUCAACAAGCAUCUGCUGAUCCUUUAUCAUGUGCCAAACACAGUAAUACAUAUUCGGAAUACAGAAACAAAUGGAAAACUGGCUAGCAAAAGUUUGAGAGUAGGCAAUCAAUCACGUGUACACUUAUGCUUGUAAGAUGCACACAGUUUAAGAAUUACAAUUAUUUGUUCUACUUUAUAGCUUCCCAUAAAGC